GUGUCAGCCGCCGCGGUAAUACAGAGGUGGCAAGCGUUGUUCGGAAUUACUGGGCGUAAAGCGCGUGUAGGCGGCUCUUCAAGUCAGGCGUGAAAGCCCCGGGCUCAACUCGGGAACUGCGCUUGAUACUGUCGAGCUAGAGUGUGGAAGGGGCGAUUGGAAUUCCGUGUGUAGCGGUGAAAUGCGUAGAUAUACGGAGGAACACCAGAGGCGAAGGCGGAUCGCUGGGCCAACACUGACGCUGAGACGCGAAAGCUAGGGUAGCAAACGGGAUUAGAAACCCCCGUAGUCC
rnacentral:rRNA from 1 species